rnacentral:rRNA from 1 species
UACGUAGGGUGCAAGCGUUAAUCGGAAUUACUGGGCGUAAAGCGUGCGCAGGCGGUUUUGUAAGUCAGAUGUGAAAUCCCCGGGCUUAACCUGGGAACUGCGUUUGAAACUACAAGGCUAGAGUGUGGCAGAGGGGGGUGGAAUUCCACGUGUAGCAGUGAAAUGCGUAGAUAUGAUGGAGGAAUACCGAUGGCGAAGGCAGCCCCCUGGGCAGAGUACUGACCUGCUGAGGUGCGGAAAGCGAUGGGGAGCAAACGGG